rnacentral:rRNA from 1 species
UACAGAGGGUGCAAGCGUUGUUCGGAAUUAUUGGGCGUAAAGCGCGUGUAGGCGGCUUUGCAAGUCGGGUGUGAAAGCCCUCGGCUUAACUGAGGAAGUGCACCCGAAACUGAGUAGCUAGAGUACUAAAGAGGGUCGUGGAAUUCCAGGUGUAGCGGUGAAAUGACGUAGAUAUCUGGAGGAACACCGGUGGCGAAGGCGGCAUCCUGGACCAACACUGACGCUGAGGAGCGAAAGCCAGGGGAGCAAACGGG